rnacentral:rRNA from 1 species
UACGGAGGGUGCAAACGUUGCUCGGAAUCAUUGGGCGUAAAGCGCACGUAGGCGGCCUGUUAAGUCGGGUGUGAAAGCCCUCGGCUCAACCGAGGAAGUGCAUUCGAAACUGGCAGGCUUGAGUAUGGAAGAGGGUCGCGGAAUUCCCGUGUAGAGGUGAAAUUCGUAGAUAUCGGGAGGAACACCAGUGGCGAAGGCGGCGACCUGGGCCAAUACUGACGCUGAGGUGCGAAAGCGUGGGGAGCAAACAGG